rnacentral:rRNA from 1 species
UACGAAGGGGGGCUAGCGUUGCUCGGAAUGACUGGGCGUAAAGGGCGCGUAGGCGGUUUGUACAGUCAGGUGUGAAAUUCCCGGGCUCAACCUGGGGGCUGCACUUGAUACGUAGGAACUGGAGUGGGGAAGAGGGUCGUGGAAUUCCCAGUGUAGAGGUGAAAUUCGUAGAUAUUGGGAAGAACACCGGUGGCGAAGGCGGCGACCUGGUUCGAUACUGACACUGAGGUGCGAAAGCGUGGGGAGCAAACAGG